rnacentral:lncRNA from 1 species
UAAACUCCCCCAUGGUUGAAAAAGCCAAAAUUCCUGCAAUGGCACCAGCCUCUUAGGCACAUAUUUACCAGAUGGGUUUUCCUAGUCCUCUCAGUAUCUCUCACUGCCAUUGAAGGGAUGGAGGAAAUACUACCUAUACUGUGCCAUCAACUAACCAACCCAAUUCCCUGAAGCCUCUUUUGAUAGUCUUCAAGCUUCUCUUAGCAACUUCAUUGCUGUCAGCCUAAACUAUCAGUAAAGGGUAAUAAUCAGAGAGUCAAACUCUGAGAGAAAUCUUCCAUUGCAUCCCCACUUACCUAUUCCUCAAGAUCCAGAAUCUCAGACCUAUUACAUAGGGCCACCUGGGAAAUCAAGUUAGGCAGGAAGAAGAUUUACCUGUGAUGCCAAGUUGAGACCUGUUUCCUUUCCUACCCAUCUCUUGGGUCCCCUAUCUCUUCCUAGUGGUGACAGGGCAGAGGGUCCACUGCUAUUUAGAGUGUAACACCCCAGUGCCUUUCUCAUAGGUAUGACAGGGAGUCCACCAGUCUGUCUCCUGCUCACAAUCCCUUAUGUUCCUUAACCUUUCCAUCUCUUCCUUGAGUUCUGCCACCAGGCUGAGCAGAUCCUGCUGACACAUCACACAGGUGGUAUUGCCUCCCUCCAUUAGCAGCAACAGGCUCAGGUGCUCCCUGCAGCCAGAGACCUGAGCAGCUAGCCACAUUCUUGCACAGGUUCUGGGUCACCACUGCUGGAAGGUUCAUCUCAAAUGGUCUGUGCCAUGCUGAUUUCCCUUCCUGCUUGCUGUGCUCUGAUGGGACCACCUAUAUGGGGGGUUUCACUCCCAGUUCCAUCCACACUGCAUCAGCAUUGCUGUGUCUCAGGGUCCCUGGGUGCAAGGCUCCACUGCAAAGUUGAUCUGCAUGAGAUCUUCACUGAAGUCAAAGACUUAAAAGGACUUUAAAUGUUUUAAAAUGUACCAUACUACAUUUUAUUUACCAAGGAUCAUGCCAUGACUUUUUCCUGUAGUAGAUGACACCUUAUUUCCACUCUACUCUUCAGCUAUUUCAAGUGUUAAGGCAUGUGUCUGUCAUUUCCCUUGUUUUGUUUUUUGUUUUUUACUGGGGCUUUAUGUAAUCCCCUGUGUGAGAGGGAGCAGGUAGAUCUCUGUAAUCAAAAUGGGGAAUAAAUUUAGGGCAGACUAAUGAGGACAAACCAUUUCUUCAAAACUCCUAGAGCUCUCAAGGUCUUCUUGUCACACUUAAAUGAAAUUUGUUCCAGAUUGCUGUUAAAUUUAUAUUAUAGAUAAGCCCAGAAAUCAAUGCAGUAAUUCGAGGUCCUGUCUUUCUGUGAUCUUUGCAGAAUGUCUACACAGUGCUUGCUGGAAGAUCCAUACCAUAUCUUUAUUCAUAGCACGAUGUAGAUAUGAACCUCAUGUCUGCAGAGUAGCUGUGUAUUAAAUUAGUUCAUUGACUUUUUGACACUUUGUCUGAUAUGGCUGUAAACAUCUUUCUGGAGCUCCUUUUUUAACUGGGUAUCAGCCCACUCAUGAAUUUCUCAGUCUAAACAAACUCUGCAAAGAGUACUGGCAGCCUGGCCUGAUCAGGUAACAGAUCUCAUUCAGUCUCUGGGAAUAUUGCUAAUUCCAGAUAUCUGGCCAUUUGCUUCUAAUGGGCCUGUCCUUUUUCCAUUAACUAUUAGCCUGUUUGCAAUUCCUCUAUAUUUUUCAUUGUUAUAUAAUAUUCACUGUACAAGAUGUUUCCAAUGGCUGUGCUGGUGGAGUAAUAUUUUUACAUGCAAUUGGUAGAAGUGUGCUGCUUGGCAUCAACAAUGCAGGGCAGCAGAGAUUUACUACUGGCUGAUGUGGAAAUAGGGAUUAAUCUACUAUUCUCAAAUUCAAACUAAUCUUCCCUCUAGCCCUCUAGAACUAAUUUUUAUCCCUUUAUUAUAUCAAAUUGUUUUGAAAAUCAUGUUUCUGAUUUAUCAUUUGAUGUGGUGAUCACUAAAGAACCAGAUCUCCUGAUCACCAUGUAUUAUUUCCAACUUUUUUCAUAGUCGGAGAAAUCAUUCUGAUUUUUUCUGCUGUUCAGUUGUGGCCAUUUCCCUCCUUUGAAAUGCAAAUAUUUCCAUUGAUGUAAAUAAUGAGUUCUUAAUAACUUUCUAUGUUUUGUUAGUACUCUAUGAUGCAGGACAGAUUAUUGUUACUGUUAGUUUAUGUAAAUAUACUUGGUUUUUAACCCACUGAUUAUGUCCAGAUUAUAUUUUAAGCAUCAGUUU